AUUUUUUAUUAAAACAAGUACAAUCCUCCGCAUUAGACAGUACGAGGUAGGGGGAGUUUCUACCGCUCCAUGUUGUUUUCAGCAGGAUGGGGUAUAUGGGGAGCUGUGUUUUACGGUUCUCUAGGUAGAGCUACUUGCUACUCAUACCUUCGUGAUAGGCGGUUUGGAAAAACUGAAGGAAUAUGGAACCAUUAAGAACUCGGAUGGAUAUAUAUACAUGAUAUCUGGGUGUCAGAGGGUUCCCACAUGU
rnacentral:snoRNA from 1 species